AUGAACGCUGGCGGCGUGCCUCAUACAUGCCAGUCGAGCGAACGGACGAGAAGCUUGCUUCUCUGAUGUUAGCGGCGGACGGGUGAGUAACACGUGGAUAACCUACCUAUAAGACUGGGAUAACUUCGGGAAACCGGGGCUAAUACCGGAUAAUAUUUUGAACCGCAUGGUUCAAAAGUGAAAGACGGUCUUGCUGUCACUUAUAGAUGGAUCCGCGCUGCAUUAGCUAGUUGGUAAGGUAACGGCUUACCAAGGCAACGAUGCAUAGCCGACCUGAGAGGGUGAUCGGCCACACUGGAACUGAGACACGGUCCAGACUCCUACGGGAGGCAGCAGUAGGGAAUCUUCCGCAAUGGGCGAAAGCCUGACGGAGCAACGCCGCGUGAGUGAUGAAGGUCUUCGGAUCGUAAAACUCUGUUAUUAGGGAAGAACAUAUGUGUAAGUAACUGUGCACAUCUUGACGGUACCUAAUCAGAAAGCCACGGCUAACUACGUG
rnacentral:rRNA from 1 species